rnacentral:piRNA from 1 species
UACAGAGUUUAAGGCUUUAGAAAUAAU